rnacentral:misc_RNA from 1 species
CUGAUUCGCGGGGGAGUGUGUGUGUGUGCGUGCGUGUGUUCUCUCUCACGCAUGCGCCACGCGCCACCCCAACCAAUCUUUUGUGCACGGUUUCACGGUCAACGAGACGCUGCGCGUGUGUGUGUUGGCAAGUGUGUGUGUCCUCCCACCCUAGUAUGGGUGGUGUGGUGACUACUACUACUACUUGCCAACCGCAUGCGUCUGUGUGCGUUCUCUGCUUGCAAUCUCUUGUGCAAUCUCUGUCUAACGUUACCUAAAUUUUAACACAAUA